rnacentral:piRNA from 1 species
GUUGCGUGGUUGUCGUCAGCAG